rnacentral:lncRNA from 1 species
CAUCCUCAGUCCUCACUUCACUCCUAAUUCGAAGUGAGAACUUUGCUGAGUUUCUCUCCACAAACAAAUUAAUUAAAGCCGCCAUUAAAACCCUUUAUCAAAAAGCUCUAAACAUUAACAAUGCCUUGUUUAACCAUGGAAGCUGUAACUUUGCUCUCCAAAUGCACCAUCUUCCCUUCCCAAAAAUCUUCUCUCUCUGACCUCAAACUCUCUGUUUCAGACCUUCCUAUGCUAUCUACUCACUACAUUCAGAAAGGUGGUCUCUUCACUCGUCCUCCUUUCUCCAUCACCGACCUCCUUUCCCUCCUCAAACGCAGCCUUUCUCAAACUCUCACCCAAUUUCCUCCCUUGGCCGGUCGCCUUGUCACUGACUCUGACGGCUACGUUUACAUUUCCUGCAAUGGUGCUGGCGCUGGUUUCAUUCACGCCGCCGCUAAUCAC